rnacentral:misc_RNA from 1 species
GAUGAAGAACGUAGCGAAAUGCGAUAAGUAAUGUGAAUUGCAGAAUUCAGUGAAUCAUCGAAUCUUUGAACGCACAUUGCGCCCGCCAGUAUUCUGGCGGGCAUGCCUGUUCGAGCGUCAUUUCAACCAUCAAGCCCCCGGGCUUGUGUUGGGGACCUGCGGCUGCCCGCAGGCCCUGAAAACCAGUGGCGGGCUCGCUGUCACACCGAGCGUAGUAGCAUCAUCUCGCUCAGGGCGUGCUGCGGGUUCCGGCCGUUAAAAAGCCUCUAAUACCCAAGGUUGACCUCGGAUCAGGUAGGAAGACCCGCUGAACUUAAGCAUAUCAAUAACGGAGGA